rnacentral:rRNA from 1 species
GAUGAACGCUGGCGGCGUGCCUAAUACAUGCAAGUCGAGCGAACAGACGAGGAGCUUGCUCCUCUGACGUUAGCGGCGGACGGGUGAGUAACACGUGGAUAACCUACCUAUAAGACUGGGAUAACUUCGGGAAACCGGAGCUAAUACCGGAUAAUAUAUUGAACCGCAUGGUUCAAUAGUGAAUGACGGCUUUGCUGUCACUUAUAGACGGAUCCGCGCCGCAUUAGCUAGUUGGUAAGGUAACGGCUUACCAAGGCGACGAUGCGUAGCCGACCUGAGAGGGUGAUCGGCCACACUGGAACUGAGACACGGUCCAGACUCCUACGGGAGGCAGCAGUAGGGAAUCUUCCGCAAUGGGCGAAAGCCUGACGGAGCAACGCCGCGUGAGUGAUGAAGGUCUUCGGAUCGUAAAGCUCUGUUAUUAGGGAAGAACAAAUGUGUAAGUAACUAUGCACGUCUUGACGGUACCUAAUCAGAAAGCCACGGCUAACUACGUG